ensembl:misc_RNA 7SK 7SK RNA
GGAUGUGAGGGCGAUCUGGCUGCUACAUCUGUCACCCCAUUGAUCACCAGGGUUGGUUCUGCUGAUCUGACUGGCUCCGUGGUUGUCCCCUUCCUCCCCCACCGCUCCAUGUUGCGUGCCUCCCAAAGCUAUGUGCUUGGUCAACAGGAUAGCCUUCCUCGAAUAGAGAUGGACCAGUCUUCCGUCAAGGGAAUACGAGGAGUUGUACUCCCCUGCUAGAACCUCCAAACAAGCUCUCAAGGAAACCAUAUUACAAAGCGAUCAUGCACACUGUCCAAAGUUACAUAUAAAGUCACACAUGAGGCUGCCAUAGUUU